AGAGUUUGAUCAUGGCUCAGGAUGAACGCUAGCUACAGGCUUAACACAUGCAAGUCGAGGGGCAGCAUGAUUUGAAGCUUGCUUCAAUUGAUGGCGACCGGCGCACGGGUGAGUAACGCGUAUCCAACCUUCCGUACACUCAGGGAUAGCCUUUCGAAAGAAAGAUUAAUACCUGAUGGUAUGAUGAGAUUGCAUGAUAGCAUCAUUAAAGAUUUAUCGGUGUACGAUGGGGAUGCGUUCCAUUAGGUAGUAGGCGGGGUAAUGGCCCACUAGCCGACGAUGGAUAGGGGUUCUGAGAGGAAGGUCCCCCANAUUGGAACUGAGACACGGUCCAAACUCCGUACGGGAGGCA
rnacentral:rRNA from 1 species